CCGAUGUCGACGAAACGCUCUUCUCGUCGUCUCGUCAUCUCCAUCUUUGACGCUCCCUUUUCCCUCACCGGCUUCGUCUCCGUCACCUCUACCGUGACUCAGACUUUGUCUCCGCCAUCCUCCACGAUAACUCACCUUCGUCUCUUUCCUAUUGGACAAACCCGAAAUCGAUUUCACCUCAGUCACAGGCUUCAACUACAAUCUACUCUAAUCUGUCUAUGAACUAGUGUGGUACUUGGAACCACCAAAACAAACUCUAUGUUAACAAGUCUGUCCUCAAUAAGGAGGCCCCCAGGAUGGCCAAAGCUGUUGCCAACCAGGCAGUGGACAACUACUACAAACCUGAUUUAAAGAAGACAGCACUUGCUAGGUGCAGCGUGAUCAGCAAAGGCCUUAGAGUCGCCAAGUCUCAUCUCAAGAAGAGGAACAUGCAGGCUUGAAGAUUUGGCCAUUGACUGAACAUUUUACUUCUGAAAAAGCUAUGAUUUGUGAUUUCAGACAAAAUUUUAUAGGUUAUAAAGAUUUUUCAUGGAUAGUUCAGUUUCUUGCUUGUAACACCUCCACUGUUAUGUUUUUUUUUCUCAGAAUGAUAUUAAAUAAAAAGUAGUAAGCUGGUUGCUGUCCACAUUCCUUGUCAGCAGUGAAAUAAUACUAGUAGUUGCUCCUUGAUCAUGA